rnacentral:lncRNA from 1 species
GUCUUUAGCAGGUCUCGGUUUGACUGAGGCAACACCCAUUAAGCAAAUUGGAAGUCUUCUUUUGUUGAUUUUAUACUCUACGUUAAACUGUCUUUCACUUUUGCCAGAUUUUCAGUUUGCCUGCCCUUUCUUUUCUGUUGUGUGUCCUCCUUCCACCCCUAGAUGUGACAAAUGUUAUUUCUGCAUUUCCUAUCGGAUAAGGAAGUCACACCUGUUAUUCAGAGUGAACAUUUUUACAGGUGACAUUUGAUUGAAAUGAACCCCCGAGGGCAAUGGGAAAUGAAGUGAAUGAGAUGUCAACAAAGAUGACAUGAGCUCCUUGAAGACUGGGUCUAGGUUGUGAAAUUCUUCAAUUUGUCUUAUUCCAACUAACACAGGCCUGGAUCCCAUUGGCAGGAAUUCUGACUUGCUAGUCGUAGACUUGCUAAUAGCAGAAUGAUUUUCCCAGGUAGGUAGGUAGGUAGUUCUAUUAUUGUCUACUCCAGAAUCCGAGAGGGAAGAAGCAGUUCUAUUACAAUGCUCUACUGCCAUUUCCUGACUACUGGUUAGGAGGAGGUAGAGGAAAAUUGUUAUUUACUGGUAAGGAAAGAGAAACACAAGGGCAAAUAAUAUCACUUGGUUUUAAGGUAGUCCUAAUAUGCAUUAUUUAAUUCUAUCCUCACAAUGACCCUGUAAUAUAAAUAGUACAAAUAUUUUUAUUCCUUUUUUCAGUUGAGGAAACUGAGGCUAAAUGACUUGCCUAAACUCAUGCAUCUGGUCAUAGCUAUAUAAUAAUAAUAGCUAGCUAAAUAAUAGCUAAAGUAAUUAUAAUUACUUUAAGAUUUGCAAAGUACUUUACAAAUGUUAUCUCAUUUUAUGUUUAUCUCACAAUAUCCCUGGGAUAUCGUGCUAUUAGCACAGGGGGUAAGUGCUAUUAUUAUCCCCACUUUAUAUUUCUCCCUUAGAGAGGUGAAGUAAUCUGCCCAAGGUCACAUAGGAAGUAUAUGUCAGAUUGGAACCAGAUUUGAACCUUUUUGAAGCCAGCCCUCUCUCUAUACUAUGCCAUGUUGCCCCCUUGAAGCCUAAUGACAUAUUAAAUCUCUAGAAUCAAAGGCUAUGGUUGUUUAGUGGUGUCUGACUCUGCAUGACCCCAUUUGGAGUUUUGUUGAUAAAGAUACUAGAAUGGUUUGCCAUUUUCCUUCUUCAGCUCAUUUUACAGAUGAAGAAACUGAGGCAGACAAAGGUCAAGUGACUUGCACAGGGUCACAUAG